ACGGGAGGCAGCAGUAGGGAAUAUUGCACAAUGGGGGAAACCCUGAUGCAGCAACGCCACGUGUGGGAAGAAGCAUUUCGGUGUGUAAACCACUGUCGUGAGGGAAUAAAGCUGGAGUUGUCCAGUUGAAUGUACCUCGAAAGGAAGCUCCGGCUAACUACGUGCCAGCAGCCGCGGUAAUACGUAGGGAGCAAGCGUUAUCCGGAAUUACUGGGUGUAAAGGGAGUGUAGGCGGGACUGUAAGUCAGAUGUGAAAUAUGCCGGCUCAACUGGCAGACUGCAUUUGAAACUGCGGUUCUUGAGUGAAGUAGAGGUAAGCGGAAUUCCUAGUGUAGCGGUGAAAUGCGUAGAUAUUAGGAGGAACAUCAGUGGCGAAGGCGGCUUACUGGGCUUUAACUGACGCUGAGGCUCGAAAGCGUGGGGAGCAAACAGGAUUAGAUACCCUGGUA
rnacentral:rRNA from 1 species